rnacentral:rRNA from 1 species
GAUGAACGCUGGCGGCGUGCCUAAUACAUGCAAGUCGAGCGAACGGACGAGAAGCUUGCUUUUCUGAUGUUAGCGGCGGACGGGUGAGUAACACGUGGAUAACCUACCUAUAAGACUGGGAUAACUUCGGGAAACCGGAGCUAAUACCGGAUAAUAUUUUGAACCGCAUGAUUCAAAAGUGAAAGACGGUCUUGCUGUCACUUAUAGAUGGAUCCGCGCUGCAUUAGCUAGUUGGUAAGGUAACGGCUUACCAAGGCAACGAUGCAUAGCCGACCUGAGAGGGCGAUCGGCCACACUGGAACUGAGACACGGUCCAGACUCCUACGGGAGGCAGCAGUAGGGAAUCUUCCGCAAUGGGCGAAAGCCUGACGGAGCAACGCCGCGUGAGUGAUGAAGGUCUUCGGAUCGUAAAACUCUGUUAUUAGGGAAGAACAUAUGUGUAAGUAACUGUGCACAUCUUGACGGUACCUAAUCAGAAAGCCACGGCUAACUACGUG